UGGGGAAUAUUGCACAAUGGGCGCAAGCCUGAUGCAGCCAUGCCGCGUGUGUGAAGAAGGCCUUCGGGUUGUAAAGCACUUUCAGCGAGGAGGAAGGUGGUGAACUUAAUACGUUCAUCAAUUGACGUUACUCGCAGAAGAAGCACCGGCUAACUCCGUGCCAGCAGCCGCGGUAAUACGGAGGGUGCAAGCGUUAAUCGGAAUUACUGGGCGUAAAGCGCACGCAGGCGGUUUGUUAAGUCAGAUGUGAAAUCCCCGGGCUCAACCUGGGAACUGCAUUUGAAACUGGCAAGCUAGAGUCUCGUAGAGGGGGGUAGAAUUCCAGGUGUAGCGGUGAAAUGCGUAGAGAUCUGGAGGAAUACCGGUGGCGAAGGC
rnacentral:rRNA from 1 species